rnacentral:lncRNA from 1 species
AGAUACUUCCAAAACCAGUUUGCAGGUGCCUAUGUUACCGAGCAGGUGACGCAACCAAGCUCAAGGAGGAGCUCGAUGAAGAUCUUGCCCUUUGUGUUGUUUCAUUCUAGUUGAUCAGUAGUGGAGCCCAGUUGGGGUCGAUCGGGGACAUUUGUCGCAUUUGGGGUUCUUCUUUUAUUUUGGUUCCGUAGUCGGACCUUGAUUGUAUCUGGAUGAUGUAAUGCUUUAUUCAUGUAAUUGUGUGAAGUGGCGAUUGUAAGCCAACUAUGUAUCUCUUUCCCUUAUGUAUUACAUGGGUUGUGUGAAGAUUACCUCACUUGCGACAUUGCUUUCAAUGCGGUUAUGCCUCUAAGUCGUGCUUCGACACGUGGGAGAUAUAGCCGCAUCGAGGGCGUUACAAGUUGGUAUCAGAGCUGACCCUCGCGGUUACACGGAUGGUUGCGGACAGGUGCGUGGUCAUGUUGUUCAUGACGUUUGUGACCCGUCGUGGCACACGACAUGGCACAUGUACUGGACUGGAAGCACAGACGUAAAUGCCAAGAGGGAACGUUCUUGUGGCCCGACGAGGACGUCGGUUCCUCUAAGUGGGGGUGUAUGUGAUGGCCUGGCUUAUUAGGGAUGAUAGACUACUCAUAUCAAUAAGGAAUUCCUUCUUUUCCGGGAUCCCAUUCGGACAGAACUCCAAAGUUAAGCGUGCUCAGCUUGGAGUAGUGUCAGGAUGGGUGACCGACCGGGAAGUUGCUCCCGGGUGCGCACGAGUGAGGACAAAGUGCGCAGAAAAGACUAGUAUUUAUCUGUGAGGCCAGUCUAGAUCCCGCCAGGAGUAACAACCACCGGCGGGUGUGUCCAGGGCGUUUCAAGUUGGUAAUCAGAGCCUUCCCCGACCUUAGGAGCCCCACUGCUUGAUCGUUUUUAGCGGCCGAGUUGUGUCUAGAAAAAUGUUUUGAGUCAUUUAGGAAUUAUAUAUCGGAGAGUUUAGGAAUUCUUUUUACUCCCCAGUCUCUUCGUCGCUCUGGUGAGGCAUCCUGACGUAGAGUUUUGACUCUUCUCUUCUCAAAUUUCACUAAAAAUUAUUUUAGGAUCACGCGGGUAUCUUGGAAUCGUUCCGAUGGUUUUAUGAUGAGAACAUUGUCUUGGUGCCUCCUGUCAGGGGUUUAGUGGAAGUGUCCCGGGGAGUUGAGCUCUGAGGUGUUGUCGUCAUAAUUUUAUCGUUGCAGUUCUGGAAUACCUGAGUUUAGUACGCCGACAUCAAAAAUCUCUUUUAUGCAGUUCGUUGGUGAGAUAACCCGAUAACCCAGUACUGAGGUGAGUACGGGAGUAUUGCCAUAACUUGUAUAACGGAUGCUUUUCGAAGGUUGAGGUAGACGAUUUCCGAAGGUUUCUUGGUUAUGUGUUGAAGGAUGGACACAGCUGGAUGUAGGAUUUGUUAGUUUUGGGUGAGAUAUUAUGCUUCCCCUGUAUCCCCAACACCUGAUUGCAUAACCGGAAAAUUUUGGGAGUUCCAUAGGUGGGAAAUCAAGUAGCUCUUAGGAUAUCUUUCCGACGGAUGUAUGAUAUGAAAUUGGGGUUCGACGUCUAGUGGUCCGCCUAUUCACGGUUGGUUUUACAGUGGUCUCGUUGUGUCUUAAAGAGUCCUUGGCUAUGCCGACUCGGGGACGCUUCGUAUGUCAUGUGCACUGCCUUGUACAUGAUGGUGCUGUACACUCGAGCCCGUGUAGGCCCCACCACGAAAACUUCGGACGAAAUCUCUAUCAUAUAUUUGUUCCGGCUUAUUCCGCAAGCCAAUCCUUGGUUUUGUUUUGAGUUGUGGUAUUCGAGUUGCUUCGAAGUCAAAUGUUGAAUCCAUACCUUUCCUAAAUGGUGUUCUCAUAUUGCUAUGUGAAUACUAAUCAUUCUGGAUAAUCGAGAUUGUCUUGUCAAUCCUUUUCAACCGGUGUGUUUCUCUUCAAGUGGAUCCGAUCACCUCAACAUCAGCAAGACCAAUUAUCAUUUCUUCUCAACGGUGUUUGUUUCAUCCGUCUCCAAGUUGCCUUUUUUCCCGCCCUCCCUCCCUUUUGUUUUUCUUCAAGGACUGAGAUUUCUUCAUCAAGUAUCCAUUUAUUCAUGUGAAGUCUCUCCAUUCUUUUCCUUCAAUGUUCUUAUCCGGUGAUUCUCACGUAUAUUCUAACGGAGCUUCAAGUUCGUCAUUCUUCUUUCUUUUCUUCUCCGGUGGAUUCAAGUCAAGAUUUGUCGAUUAUAUCCCCUUUUCUCGUUUCAAAUACCUUCUCUUGACGAUGCUCCUCAUAUUCAUUCACUUCUCGCUAUUUGUUAUUCCGGAGUGCUCAAGAUAUCUCGAAGAUUCGUGUUUCCACUCUGCAUUCGUUCAAGCUCUUUCGAGAUUGGUAUCUCAUUCAAGUCAUUUAAUUCAACCGGUGCAACAUCUCUUUUAAAUCUUUUCAACGGUGUUCUUUUGAGUGGGCCCUAACCCACAGGUCUUUUCCCAGGAUCUUACCUGACUCUUCUAUUUUCCCAGAGCUAUCCUAAAUUCUUCUCCAAGUUUGACGUAAGAAUGAGUUAUCAUCAGUCAAAUGCUUUUUCUCCAAGAUCUUUCAAAUUCUUUUCAUAGUUGGCUCAACCUCUUCGCUUUUGAUUCUUCCGGUGUGCCUCAAUAAUUCUUGGUGGUGUGUCUCGUUGUCAUUCUCAUCAUUUGAAGACCGAAGAAGAGUUUCUCUUUAAUCUUGCUCUAUUCUCUUCAAGAUUCAUGGUGCUAGCUUGUUGCCAUCCUCUCAUAAUUGUUUUCGAUUGUGAGAAUCUUUUUCACCCAUCAGGAGAUAUUCAAGAGUCUUCUCGGUUCGAUUAUCCGGAGUCCAUCAAUUCAGGUUUAUUCAUUCUCAGCCGUCAGUUAUCAUUCUCCUAUCUUGCCGGUGCAUCUAUCGAAUAUCCUCUAAUCAGUUCUUGAUCUCUUUGUUCUCAUGUAUCUAGUUUGUCUCAAGCACCUUCGUUCAUUUGCUAAUUCUUACCGGUGAUGCACCCCUACUUCGAUCAUUUUCAAUUCUUACGGUGGUUCUUUCAAGAUCUCUCUUCCUUGUUCAUCAUAUCAAUUCAUUUGUUGUUCCAAUCCUACCGGUGGUUCAUUGAAGACCUUCCCAAGUUUGCGCUAUAUCUCUCUUAAUCUUGUCUACGAGAAUAAGUAAUAUGCCAAAUCCGUUUGAUUGUCAUCUAUUUAAUUGGUGAAGGAUAAGCAUAAUGUAAUUCUUAUUCUUGUUUCAUCGAGUUUGUUCAAUUCCUGCUUUCCGUACUGGUUCAUCAUACUUAUUCUUGGUUUCAAGUGCUCUUCUUUCUUUCCCGGAGUGCCAAGUUCUCUCAAUCAUUUGUCACGGAGAUCUCUAUCUAAAUCAUUGCAAGGCUCAAAUCUUAUUCUUUUCAUCAUUCAAUUAGUUUGGAUCAUUCUUUUGUUUACCGGAGUUCUUCAUGGAGGUUCUACAUGAUGGUUCAUCAAGGAUUUAAUUCCCUUCUCAAAGUUUUCAUCGAGAUUCUUUCCUAAGGAGCUCAAGCUUUCUUCAUAUGGUAAUCCGGAGUGCAAUUCCUUCUACCAUAUUUUGGAGGUGGUAUUAGGUCAUUCUUGAUAAUUUGAGUUCAUGUUCCAUGAUUCACAUGUUGUUAAGAAUGAGUUAUUUUUAAAUCCAUCAACCUCGUUGUUGGAGUUAUCUUGUGUCAUAUUUCACCUAAAAGCCUUCCAUUGGGAAUGUUGCUAUUUGUGGUGCUUGCCAAUGAUCCAAGUUAUCUCUUUAUCAUCUUGGUGGAAGAAGUGUUCAUCUCUUCGUCGAUCUAAAGCUAGCAAUCGUUUCCGUUAGUGGCCGGUUGUCACCUCAUAAUUUUGAGAUGUUUUCCAUAAGCCCACUACAAGCUUAUUCGUUUCGUUGUUGGGUUUUUCCCAACAACCCCGUUGUAACCUUCUUGGAAGGGUGCUUUCCAAGCUCAAUUGUGGCAGAAGUUGCCAUUUCCCCCUCCAUUCUGUUAUUCCAAUGACCUAUCUUCUAUACUUUCUUCCGGAGGCAUUGUGACGUUGCUCUUUUCACUCACCAUCUCGAUUCGUAAGGAUCGUGUUCUUUUCUUGCUUAUCCAUUUAACCGGAGUGUCGUGUUUUCAUUCGAGUUCUCUAAUCUUAUCAAGUUUUCCCUCCUUCCUCAACUGGAGAGCUGUCUGAAAUCCUUCUUACCCAUUGUGCCAUUCUUUCAAUAGUUCCGGAGGCAGUGUGUUGUUGAUUUCAUCAAGUAACAUCCCAUCUUCUCAAGUUCAUGUUCUAUUCCUUCCAUGUUCAACCGGAGUACUGCCCGAAUUCUUCCCCUCUCAUCUUGUUUUAACCGGAGUGGUUUCGAAUUCUAUCUUGUCCAUUAAACUCUUGAUUCAUGUCUUCGCAACCUUCAAGUUCUCGUAAUGUUCCUUGUUCCUCUUUCUAACGGAUUGUUUGCAAUCUCGUUCAUCUCCUUUGUAUUCUUUCUUUCAAUUUGUUCAACCUCUCAAGGUUCUUUGGUUUCACUCAUUGGUCAAAGAAGCAACUUAGUUUUACCUCUUCUCUUCCUCUUCCAUUUCUCUCCGGUGCCAUCCUAGAUCUCGGGACGAGAUCCUCUCGUAGUGGUGGAGUGUUGUAACGCCCCGAGACCGACGAUCAGAAGACUUCCAGCUAUUCCGAGUUCCUCCGCAGCCCACCUAACCCUCCUACCUAAGCCGGCCCAAGGCCCAGCCGCCUCUAACCCUAGCCCAGCCCCCACACACCCCAUCUCUCUCCUCGUUCCUCCUCCAGCGCCGCAGCCUCCUCGCCCGAUCCCCUCGCCUCCGCCCCUUCCUCCUCGCAGCGCCCGAACCCUCCUCUCGAGCACGCCUCUCAUGGUGCCCGCAUCAGCCGGCCCCCUUCCUCUCCUCCUCUAUGGCGUCUCCCCUUCUCGAGCACCCCCGCGACCACGCCCCUGCCGAACCCAGCGCCAGGCCCCCGCUCCUCCCUCCUCACGCGAUCCCCUCUCCUGUUCCCCUCGCCGCCUCCUCCCUCCACCGGCGCCAUCCAUGCCUGUCGCCCCUCCGGUCGCCGUGAGCAGGAGCGCCGUGCCCAUCCGCCCUGCUGGUUUUGCUCAACUCCGGCGCCGCCGCAGCCAGAGCCCCGGGCCGUCCUCGUCGCCUUGCUCCCCCGCGUUGCCUCUGCCAGCACUGUGCUGCUGCGUGCAUCCGCCAAGCCCCUCUGCCCUGUUUCGCCUCGGCCUCGAUCGAGGAGGACGAGCAGCGUUGCUGCCUGCUCGAUCUGCCUGCACGCGCGCCUCGCGCGUUGACUGCGACCAGCUCCAUGCCCGAGCGAGCACGCUCCUGAUCCCGAUGCUCAGGUCCGCCAAGCAUCGUCUCCGGGAGUUUUUCCCAAGUACCACUACGGUCGCCAUCCGCCAAGUUCCAUCAAGCCGAUCGUGUACGUCUACCGUCACCGUGGGUUUUCAUCAAGUUCGGCUACAGCACAAAGAUACGUGCAACUACGUGGAUUCGCCGAGUACGACUACUCAUGGGACCCGUCAAGUUCAUCUACGGGAGACCGAACGACUACUUCCACUGCGCCCGAAUACCGUGGAUGCGACAAGUUCCUCUCCGGACAUGUACGACUACCGUUGCCAAGAUCGCGAGUACCUCUACCGUCGCCAUGAACAACUACUUCCCUCGACGACCCGUGAACGACUACUUCCUCUCCGAACCGGUCCGCUUCGAAAACGCACGCUUCGAAGGUAUAACGCAGAGACGACGCCCGUGACUUAAUGCAUGUGUUGAAUGAGAUGCUCGAGUUUUGCACCGUGAUCGAAUCGUCCUUGCGAUGCCCCUCUUUUGCCGUGCCACUAACCUGUGGGAACCCGGUAACCGGGAGCACCCCACCAUCUUGCAUGACUCGCUCACGUCACGCCUCCUUUUGCACCGGUAUCUCUGUGAGCUACCGGAACCGAUAUGUUGCCGUGGCAUCAUUUUCGGAUAUGUUGCCGUGGCACCAUUUUUGUUUCACCGCCGUGGCACCUUUUUCCUUCCGCCAUGGCGACAAAUGCCUCGUAUCAUGCUCAUGUCAACAUUUUCAUAAAAUUGCAUAAAACUUGUAUAUGUCAUCCGCAUCAUGAUAACAACAUUUAAAAUGUUUAAAAUUGUUGCUUGCCUUAAAUUGCUAAAUGAUAUGGGGAUUCUCCGGAAUUGUUGUUUGUUGCUUCCGGCCUCAUUUAACCUUGACUAGAUAGGUAGUUUUCAUUUGCUUCACCCUCUUGCCAUGCUUAACAACAUUUAAUAUUGUUGGGUACAUAAACGGGAUCAAACUAAAUAACUUAUCGUGGUGUUUCGUCAAUAUGCAGUUGCAUAUUGAGCUUCAUUUAAUUUGUAGGAUUGUUUGUGCACUUUGCCAUGCCAUGCCUCAUUAAACCGGAUAUGCAUCAUACUUGUUUGUGCAUCAUGACUUGUUUAUGUGAUGGUUGUUUACUAUGUUGUGUGCUUCUUUUCCGGUGAUUGCUUCUUUGGGUUGGUUCCGAUAACGUCGCGUUUGUGAGGAUCCGUUCAACUACGUCCGUUUGUCUUCUUCAUGGACUCGUUCUUCUUCCUUGCGGGAUCUCAGGCAAGAUGAUCAUACCCUCGAAAUCACUACUAUCUUUGCUAUGCUAGUUUGCUCGCUCUUUUGCCAUGCCAAUGCUACGAUGCCUACCAUUUGCUUGUCAGCCUCCCAAAUUGCCAUGUCAACCUCUAACCCACCAUGUCCUAGCAAACCGUUGAUUGGCUAUGUUACCGCUUUGCUCAGCCCCUCUUAUAGCGUUGUUAGUUGCAGGUGAAGAUUGAAGUUUGUUCCUUGUUGGAACAUGGAGAUGUUGUUCCUUGUUGGAACAUGUUUACUUGUUGGGAUAUCACAAUAUAUCUUAUUUAAUUAAUGCAUCUAUAUACUUGGUAAAGGGUGGAAGGCUCGGCCUUAUGCCUGGUGUUUUGUUCCACUCUUGCCGCCCUAGUUUCCGUCAUAUCGGUGUUAUGUUCCCGGAUUUUGCGUCCCUUACGCUGUUGGGCUAUAAUGGGAACCCCUUGACAGUUCGCCUUAAGUAAAGCUCUUCCAGCAAUGCCCAACAUUGGUUUUACCAUUCGCCACCUAGCCUUUUCUUUCCCUUGGGUUCUGCAGACUCAAGGGUCAUCUUAUUUAACCCCCCCGGGCCAGUGCUCCUCUGAGUGUUGGUCCGAACUGGGCAGCCUGCGGGGCCACCUCGGGGAAACUUGAGGGUUGGUUUUACUCGUAGCUUGACCUAUCUGAGUGUGCCCUGAGAAAGAGAUAUGUGCAGCUCCUAUCGGGAUUUGUCGGCACAUUCGGGCGGUGUUGCUGGUUUAGUUUUACCCUGUCGAAAUGUCUUGUUGUACCGGGAUACCGAGUCUGAUCGGAGUGUCUCGGGUGGAGGUCUAUUCCUUCGUUGACCGUGAGAGCUUGUCAUGGGCUAAGUUGGGACACCCCUGCAGGGAUUUGAACUUUCGAAAGCCGUGCCCGCGGUUAUGGGCAGAUGGGAAUUUGUUAACGUCCGGUUGUAGAAAACCCGAAGUUGACCUUAAUUAAAAUACAUCAACCGUGUGUGUAACCGUGAUGGUCUCUUUCCGGCGGAGUCCGGGAAGUGAACACGGUGUUGGAGUUAUGCUUGACGUAGGUUGCUAUAGGAUCACUUCUUGAUCAUACUUUUAUCGACCGUGCUUUGCCUUCUCUUCUCGCUCUCAUUUGCGUAUGUUAUCCACCAUAUAUGCUAGUCGCUUGCUGCAGCUCCACCUCAUUACUCCAUCCUUCCUAUAAGCUUAAAUAGUCUUGAUCUCGCGGGUGCGAGAUUGCUGAGUCCCCGUGGCUCACAGAUACUUCCAAAACCAGUUUGCAGGUGCCUAUGUUACUGAGCAGGUGACGCAACCAAGCUCAAGGAGGAGCUCGAUGAAGAUCUUGCCCUUUGUGUUGUUUCAUUCUAGUUGAUCAGUAGUGGAGCCCAGUUGGGGUCGAUCGGGGACAUUUGUCGCAUUUGGGGUUCUUCUUUUAUUUUGGUUCCGUAGUCGGACCUUGAUUGUAUCUGGAUGAUGUAAUGCUUUAUUCAUGUAAUUGUGUGAAGUGGCGAUUGUAAGCCAACUAUGUAUCUCUUUCCCUUAUGUAUUACAUGGGUUGUGUGAAGAUUACCUCACUUGCGACAUUGCUU